GGANUNCUGGGCGUAAGCGCAUGCAGGUGGUUCAUUAAGUCAGAUGUGAAAGCCCGGGGCUCANCCUCGGAACCGCAUUUGAAACUGGUGAACUAGAGUGCUGUAGAGGGGGGUAGAAUUUCAGGUGUAGCGGUGAAAUGCGUAGAGAUCUGAAGGAAUACCAGUGGCGAAGGCGGCCCCCUGGACAGACACUGACACUCAGAUGCGAAAGCGUGGGGAGCAAACAGGAUUAGAUACCCUGGUAGUCCACGCCGUAAACGAUGUCUACUUGGAGGUUGUGGCCUUGAGCCGUGGCUUUCGGAGCUAACGCGUUAAGUAGACCGCCUGGGGAGUACGGUCGCAAGAUUAAAACUCAAAUGAAUUGACGGGGGCCCGCACAAGCGGUGGAGCAUGUGGUUUAAUUCGAUGCAACGCGAAGAACCUUACCUACUCUUGACAUCCACAGAAGAGACCAGAGAUGGACUUGUGCCUUCGGGAACUGUGAGACAGGUGCUGCAUGGCUGUCGUCAGCUCGUGUUGUGAAAUGUUGGGUUAAGUCCCGCAACGAGCGCAACCCUUAUCCUUGUUUGCCAGCACGUAAUGGUGGGAACUCCAGGGAGACUGCCGGUGAUAAACCGGANGAAGGUGGGGACGACGUCANGUCAUCAUGGCCCUUACGAGUAGGGCUACACACGUGCUACAAUGGCGUAUACNGAGGGCUGCNAGCUAGCGAUAGUGAGCGAAUCCCAAAAAGUACGUCGUANUCCGGAUCGGA
rnacentral:rRNA from 1 species